rnacentral:lncRNA from 1 species
UUAUUGUUUGUUUUAUUUCUGCCUUAUCACAAAUGAGAUGCCAACUGAUGAGUGUGUUUGAGUUCAGGAGUAAUCAGAGUUAGUUUUCCUUGGGAUACAGGCGCCAUUUUCAAUAGAAAAUAAAGUUCUGAAGAGAACAAUAUGUAUUCACUUUGGCAGCAAAAUCAAGCACUUAUAAAAUGAUAUGGACAUUAAACGAUUUGCUUAACCUUUGUGCUGCUUUCUAAAAACGUUAGGUAACAUAUACAUACUGUGCAAGGUUCGGGGUUACUUAAAGUCUUGCAUUUCUGAAGAAAAACAGACGCUGGAUGUACUUGAAAUAAAUACGUACCUAUUAUUAGCUUCCAUUUACCUUCCUUGAAGAAGUUGUCAGAUUUUCUUCUGGAAACUACCCGCUCACUCUGCUUUGUGAUCUAGGGGCACCAGCCUCACUUGUGCUGGAACUGGGCCCUCAUUGACAGCACCGAUCUGGAUGUACAUCUCUGUUUAUAGUCGUAAAUGGCUUGAAACCAACAGAGAGAAGCAGUCCAGAGUGGCUGAAAUUUUUUCUUUUCUUAGUAUCCUGCACAGAUUCUCUCCUUGCUUCACUCCUGAAGAUUCAUGUAACUCAGUCCUCCCGAGAGCCAAUUUAGGCUCCUGAUUGGAAAACAUAAGUGUCCAAAAUGGAGUCAGCAUCAAGAAUGUAACAGAUUUAUAAAAAGAAAUCACAUGGGAUUCUGGAUCAACUCUUACCCUUGGCAGCAUGUACCUGCAGAGUUUUUAUCUAAGUGAACAAUAAAUAUAUUCGAAAAAUCUCAA